CUUUGUCCUAGCUCCUGAUCGUAGUUCACUACUUCUGUUCGGCGUCAUAUGAAUUUGUUUUUGUAUCUUUUGAUUGGGUUCAUUGCUUGAUCUGGUGAAGAUGAGCUGAGUUUGCUGAUUUGGCUCCUCAAACUGGACUCGCAGCUCGAAAACUAUUAUGAUGUGUGGUCGGUGGCUGCUAUUUCAAUAGCAUUUUGGUUUGGAUCAUCAUGCUCUGUAUUUCACGAGCGACUAGGCAGAAAUGGCACAGAUUUUUGCACCGACGAUGUAAUGCCAGAUAAGGAUCACAAAGAACUCACUGACCGCCAGUCCCAUGACAGGAAACACAUGGAUUUCUCUCUUGCUAAAACAGAAGAAGAGUGGAAACGCCAAGAGCUUUUCUUAGUUCAGGGCGUAUGCUUUGAAGUCCGAGAACAAUACUAGUACAUGCUCGAGAGUCUUUUCAACUUGGACGUCACACCUACACCGAUACAAUAAUUGCAUAAUACAUUUGGUUGCCCAAAAUUGGAGGAGAGGUGCCACAAAGAUGCAGGCGACGACUGUUACAAGAUAUCUCAUAUCCUGCAGACAGAGUUGAUAAAGUUAUCUAUCAACGCUAUAUGAUUUGAGGGGGGGGACAUGGACAGAUCGCUGAUAGGUUUGGACAUUGCUUUAAUCUCGAACAUGCAAGAAAAAUGAAGAAAAUUCGUACUUUUCUUCAUCCAACUCCGAGAUUGUUAAAUCUGCCUCAUGACUCAUUCUGUAGAUAUAGUGUGCAAUCUCCUUAUUUGAUUUCACAAGGAGCAAAAUGCCUGCACAAUUCUGGAAAACUCUCAUAGAUGAAGUGAUGAAAUGUUUCUCUGUUGAACGGCUUCUGGUUUGCUUCCCUUGAACGGAGGUUCUGACAUAGAUCUGCGCAGCAACUCAAGGGCGAUCCCUAGACCUGCUGAGCACCCGUUUGAACUUCCAAAGUGGAAUUACUAUGGAUCAAGUACCAAUCAAGCUCCGGGGGAGGAUAGAGAAGUGAUCUUAUAGUUAGCAUUUGACAGCAUUUGACAUUCUUUAUUUGCUUCUCAGCCAUUCUGCAAAGGUUCUCAGACUAGGCAGAAAUGGCGCAGAUUUUGGCACCAACGACAUAAUGCCAGACAAGGAUCACAAAGAACUCAUUGAUGGCCAGUCCCAUGGCAGCAAACGCAUGGAUUUCUCUCUCACUAAAACAGAAGAAGAGUGUAAACACCAAGAGCUUUUCUAAGUUCAGGGUGUAUGCUUUGAAGUCCAAGAACAAUACUAUUACAGGCUUGAGAGUCUUCUCAAUUCGGAUGCCACGCCCUACACCCAUACGAUGAUUGUAGAAUACAUUUGGUAUGUUUUAAUGCCUAAAACCAUUUAGUGUGAUCCACAAAAAGAUGACAAAUACUAGAACUAUUCUGUACUGAGAUUAUAAGUUCGCAUUUUUCUUCGAUAUGCCAUCAGAAUAAGUAUGUCAUAUGUUAUAUGCACAUUCAACUGCUGACACCUUUUCUUUUUUUU